CCAUGCCGCGUGGGUGAUGAAGGCCUUAGGGUCGUAAAGCCCUUUCGCCGGGGAAGAUAAUGACGGUACCCGGUAAAGAAGCCCCGGCUAACUCCGUCCCAGCAGCCGCGGUAAUACGGAGGGGGCUAGCGUUGUUCGGAAUGACUGGGCGUAAAGCGCGCGUAGGCGGAUCAGGAAGUUGGGGGUGAAAUCCCGGGGCUCAACCUCGGAAUGGCCUUCAAAACUCCUGGUCUUGAGUUCGAGAGAGGUGAGUGGAAUUCCGAGUGUAGAGGUGAAAUUCGUAGAUAUUCGGAGGAACACCAGUGGCGAAGGCGGCUCACUGGCUCGACACUGACGCUGAGGUGGGAAAGCGUGGGGAGCAAACAGGAUUAGAUACCCUGGUAGUCC
rnacentral:rRNA from 1 species